rnacentral:rRNA from 1 species
AUGAGUGCACUCUGUUGGAAAUGCCGUGGCGCGGGCAAAGCCGCGACAGUUUGAGAAAUUCGCGACUUCGCGAAUAAAUUUGCCCCUACCCUUUUGUGUAUCGUUGAAACUCAGAUAUAAGGCUCAAGGGUAGAAGCAUUAGCAAGUACUUUUGGUUAUGAUAAUGGUUUUGCAAUUGGUAGUAGAGGCAGAAGUGGUGAUAUUUGGUGUAUUUUGGAAUAA